AAAACUAUACUUUUGGGGAUCAUUUCUAUAGGUUAUAACUAGAGAAGUGUGGGUGAAAAUGUUUGAUCUCGCUAACCAUGAGGAAGAGUUAAAAUAUUUUCUUCUUAACAUGAAGUGAGUGGACAGUGUUGCUUUAGUGCAGCUGCUGUUUGCUGUUGAUUGUUCUUGCUUUCCUUUUGGAAAACUGAGCGGAAGAGAACAUAGACUGAGUGGU